AGCUUCGAAUCAGUGUACUUAACAUUACAGCAAUAACUGAUAACUUUAUUCACAGUGAAACUCCUAGCAUGCAGUGGUUAUUAAUAAUUAAUACAGUCCUUUAUGGCUUAUUUUAUAACUAAAUGUUUGCUAUUUGCCUGAAUAAGAAUGGUGCUUCCCCUCUUGUCUGAACAGACUGUACCUACCGAAUCUUGAUCACAUAAUUAGUUCAUUAGUGUUUGAUAUGGAAAUCAAAUGAAUGAUAAAAAAGCAAGUCAUUUUUAUUGUAAUUGGAUCUAUUAUAUUAUUUACAGUAUGUAGUGGAUGAGUAUGUAUUGAUCCUAUAAAUACUGUUACAUUAAUCUAUCAGGCCUAAAGCUAAACUAUUGAUUUUUUUGUGUGUGUACACCAUACUGGAGCACUGCAGUGCUGAGGAUGGGAUGAAGGCAGAGGUAACGGAAAAGAUGGAGAAAGAAACAGAGAUUGAGACGGAGUAAGAGGAGGUGGGCCUCCCCCACUUCAGGGCCCCUUUCCUGUGCUCGGGUUGUUUGAGGACACGAUGAACUGGGCCACCCUAUCCUGAAGAGGGCCCAUUUGGAGGGGAUGGGGGUAGGGAGGGUUGGCGGGCUGACGAUGGCCAAUAUGGAGAAUCUUGUGAGACUUCUCGGUAUGGAAAGAGAAAGCAGAGGGAGGAGAAAAGCCAGGUUUGGAGGUGUGGGAUUGGAGAAAUGAAUGAAAAUGGGCGGGGCUAGAGGAAAAAGCAUAGGGACCAGGGAUAAAUGCAGCUUGAGUCAGGGGUCUGAGCGGGCCCUACUUAUUACAUCGGUGGAUUCAGGCUACAUGAAUAGGCUCACUGUGAAACUCUGGCUCUCUCUUCACGCUCUCCUCGUUCACACAGCGCUUCACUCGUCAGCUGCAUUCCUGAACGCUGAGAUUUCCUGAUACUUGUAAGAGGUUAUUCCACCAUACCCACAAGAAUGAAGU